rnacentral:rRNA from 1 species
GACGAACGCUGGCGGCGUGCUUAACACAUGCAAGUCGAACGGUAAGGCCCUUCGGGGUACACGAGUGGCGAACGGGUGAGUAACACAUGGGUGAUCUGCCCUGCACUUCGGGAUAAGCCUGGGAAACUGGGUCUAAUACCGGAUAGGACCACUGCCUGCAUGGGUGGUGGUGGAAAGCUUUUGCGGUGUGGGAUGGGCCCGCGGCCUAUCAGCUUGUUGGUGGGGUGAUGGCCUACCAAGGCGACGACGGGUAGCCGGCCUGAGAGGGUGACCGGCCACACUGAGACUGAGAUACGGCCCAGACUCCUACGGGAGGCAGCAGUGGGGAAUAUUGCACAAUGGGCGCAAGCCUGAUGCAGCGACGCCGCGUGAGGGAUGACGGCCUUCGGGUUGUAAACCUCUUUCAGCACCGACGAAGCGCAAGUGACGGUAGGUGCAGAAGAAGGACCGGCCAACUACGUGCCAGCCGCCGCAGUAG